rnacentral:lncRNA from 1 species
AGCCACAUCCAUGCUAUCUCCUAAAGCAGUCAUUCUGAAACCCAAUCUGGGGACAGUGCAGACUAAAUAAAAUUUCAUUUUGAUUUGGCCUCCCGCUGCGAAUGGGACUGCUUUGUCUCAGCCGACAGAACCAGCAAGCCAGAAAGGGAAUGAAGACAUUUGGAGAAGAAGCGUUUACUGAAAGGAGAUUCCUGGGCUGGAGGAAAACCAUGAUCUACAGUUCAUGUUGACAGAUAUUGUAUUUUUGGUCCUAGAUCUGACUUUUGAAAUGACUUAUCACAAAUUCAAAUUUAGCAAUCAUGAGUGAAGUACCCACGAUGUGCUAAGCAUCUACCUCUGCAGAUAGAAGAACACUUACUGUUCCUGAGCAUGGGAGGGAAUAGAAGUUCCUGGGUCCUGGCCUCACCUCAUCAGGCACUGCCAAAUUUGACACCUCCUUCCUGUUCACGGCAGUCCUUUGCGAUAGGGUAUUAGAUGCCACCAAGUAGCUGCAUAACUCACCCAUUUGGUCAGAGCCUGGGUCUAAGCCAGGUCUGACAGACUCCAAAGCAAGCCCUGUUUACAGCAUGACUGGGAUCCAGUGGACGAGGGAACUGAGCUGUCAAAACUAAGUGACUUGAUUGAGGCCAUGCAGCUGGCGAGGGGAGGACCAGGAUCUGAACCCAACUGGGUCUCCCAAGCCUGGGCCACUGAACCAUUUCACCUCUUGGAAAAACUUAAUGGUCAGAGUGGCCCACCCAGUCCAUGGACAGCAUGGAGUGGUAUGGUGGAAGAGGAGGGAAGAAAACCUGUGUAUUCAUGGACUGACUCAAGGUAUACUGCUCUAAAUCCUACUGUAAGGCUUCCUCAUCAAGUUACCUACCUUCUAAUUGAGUCUCCUCAUCGGCUGAAAUGUUUACUCACAUGGAGUUAAUGACAGUGUCUGCAUUAGAGGAUUUAGUCAAGAUCAAAUUAGAUAUUGCAAUGGAGUGCUGAGGACAACAGCUGGCAUGCUUAAAAUGCUUGCUAAAUGUGUACAAGUGCACAAGUUCUGUUUUAUUAAUAAAAACCAACACCUAUGUCAC